UUUUUUGAAGGGCUUAUUUCUCUAUCAUGUAGAUACUCAAACAUGUCUUGUUCUGAAUACUUGUUUCAUACAGGAAGAUUGUUAGUGGGGCACACCCUCCAACAUCCAUUAACGUGAACAUUAAUGGACGUGUUUACGGACACGCAGUUUGUCUCUGUGUAACAAACUGACCAAUCCAAAUGUGACAAUGGUUUAAAGAUUCUGAAAAUAGUAUUGACAUAAACUACAUCACAUGGAUUGGAGCAGAGAUAAGAGAGUAAACAUCCGGCCUGGUCCAGGCCCCUCUCAAGCUAGCAGCUAGCUUUAGCCUCCGGGACUGGGUGAACUGGAGUUAUACUGUAUGAACACGACAAGAGAUCUACUGCAGGUGCUGACCCGAGGCGAGCUCAUUCAAUAACAAAUGCUUUCGCUCACAGUAAAAGCUGAGUGAAAUUGGAUCGAGAGCAUCUGUAAACAUCAGGUUAUAACACUUGACACAGAUUCUCAACUGAAUCCUCACACCAUGACACUGCCGCCACCAUGGUGAGUUCACUGUUGGUUUUUCAUCACACAUAUAGUUCUAACAAGAGGUGCAACCCAAUUUCCUCCUUCAUUUCUGGCUUUAUUUAACACACACACACACCCAAAAAAAUCUUUAUUUUAUUUUUUUUAUGUUUGUGUAUGCAGAUAGUCUGAAAACAGACAGA